rnacentral:rRNA from 1 species
GUGGGGAAUAUUGCACAAUGGGGGAAACCCUGAUGCAGCCAUGCCGCGUGUGUGAAGAAGGCCUUCGGGUUGUAAAGCACUUUCAGCGAGGAGGAAAGGUUGGUAGCUAAUAACUGCCAGCUGUGACGUUACUCGCAGAAGAAGCACCGGCUAACUCCGUGCCAGCAGCCGCGGUAAUACGGAGGGUGCAAGCGUUAAUCGGAAUUACUGGGCGUAAAGCGCACGCAGGCGGUUGGAUAAGUUAGAUGUGAAAGCCCCGGGCUCAACCUGGGAAUUGCAUUUAAAACUGUCCAGCUAGAGUCUUGUAGAGGGGGGUAGAAUUCCAGGUGUAGCGGUGAAAUGCGUAGAGAUCUGGAGGAAUACCGGUGGCGAAGGCGGCCCCCUGGACAAAGACUGACGCUCAGGUGCGAAAGCGUGGGGAGCAAACAGG